rnacentral:rRNA from 1 species
GAUGAACGCUAGCUACAGGCUUAACACAUGCAAGUCGAGGGACCGGCGCACGGGUGUGUUACACGUAUCCAACCUUCCCUUUACUCGGGGAUAGCCUUUCGAAAGAAAGAUUAAUACCCGAUAUAAAGGACGGGGAUGCGUUCGAUUAGUUUGUUGGUGAGGUAACAGCCCACCAAGCCUUCGGUGGAUAGGGGUUCUGAGAGGAAGGUCCCCAACAAUGGAGCUGAGACACAGUCCAAACUCCGACGAGGGGCAGCAGUGAGGAAUAUUGGGGAAUGGGCGCUAGCCUGAACCAGCCAAGUAGCGUGAAGGAUGAAGGCUUAUGGGUCGUAAACUUCUUUUAUAUAAGAAUAUGUAUUAUAUGAAUAAGGAUCGGCUAACUCCGUGCCAGCAGCCGCGGUAAUAC